rnacentral:rRNA from 1 species
GACGAACGCUGGCGGCGUGCUUAACACAUGCAAGUCGAACGGAAAGGCCCUGCUUUUGUGGGGUGCUCGAGUGGCGAACGGGUGAGUAACACGUGAGUAACCUGCCCUUGACUUUGGGAUAACUUCAGGAAACUGGGGCUAAUACCGGAUAGGAUCUCCUGCUGCAUGGUGGGGGUUGGAAAGUUUCGGCGGUUGGGGAUGGACUCGCGGCUUAUCAGCUUGUUGGUGGGGUAGUGGCUUACCAAGGCUUUGACGGGUAGCCGGCCUGAGAGGGUGACCGGCCACAUUGGGACUGAGCUACGGCACAGACUCCUACGGGAGGCAGCAGUGGGGAAUAUUGCACAAUGGGCGGAAGCCUGAUGUAGCACCGCCGCGUGCGGGAUGACGGCCUUCCGGUUGUAAACCGCUUUCGCCUGUGCCGAAGCGUGAGUGACGGUAAUGGGUAAAGAAGCACCGGCUAACUCCGUG